GAAACUCGCGGAUUGGCUGCCUCCUGUGCCCACCCGACCUGGGCCUGGGAACCUGCAACCAAGGUCCAUGCCCUGGACCCACGACCCUCCAGUCCCGCGCUGAUGCUCUGCCCGCCCAGGGCACAGGCCGGGCUGAAGCGGCCAUUUCUCUCUGCGACCUGGUGAUUCUGAGAAGGAGCCAGAAGAGCCCAGAUGAAAAGCCCUGCUUCCUCUCCCUGAGCUGUGACCCCAGUGGAGGUGAAGGAAUCGUUUCUGUUGGCAUUUUAAGUUCA